GAAGUCACUAUAGUUUCUAAUUGGAGCACAUUCAUGCAUUCAAUAUAGGUGACUGUAAUGAAGCUCAAGGUUGACCUUGAAUGCCACAAAUACUACAAGAAAGUCAAGAAGCUUCUCGCUAAAUUCCCUCGUCAGUUCUCUUCUCUCUUUUCUUUCUUAACAAUUUCAAUCUCAUUUAUUUUUCUGCAUCAAAUUGAGUUUAUUUUAUUUCCUAUAAUUUUGUGAACAAGAGAAAUUCGAGACGAGAAAUUCGACGAGAAGCAAAAUAUCGUGACCAUCAUGGUGAUGUGCUGCAGCCAUCCUUUGUAAUUUGGACUUAUUGGCUACCCUGCAUUUUUAAUGUCAAUCAUGAGGGAACUUUUGUGCAACUGUAACAUGCCUGCUAGGUCACAGGUUUGAAUCCUAGAAAUAACCUUUUUGCUUGUGGAGGUAUGUCUUCAUAUAUCUACUAGCUGCAAACCCCAGCAGUUGGGAGCCUUAUGAAUUGGAUCCAACCUUUUUUCUUGAAGUCAUUGUCUGUGAGCCUAUGCUGAGAUUUCAUUUAUACAAUAUUUUAAACAUCAUCACAAGGAAAACACAAGUCCAGAAAAAUAGCAGUUGCACUUGGAGUUAGUCUUAGUUGUGCUUCUCUCAUGGUUUUGCUCUUUGGGAUCUUUUGGUAUAGACAUAAAUGACAGCACCAGGCCAUCCUAUUUAUUGGUGG